rnacentral:lncRNA from 1 species
AAGAAAAUGACAUCCUACCAAUGCCUUCUGUUUAAAAGAAAACAUAGAAAGCAAACAACAAAUUCAUAAGUUGAGCCAAUCAACCAAGGGAUCAUGUAACAAGAUCCACUAAUAGAGAAUGUAAAGCAGCAUCAAUAAAAAUUCCUUAUAUAACUCCUGAUGCCAAUGUUAAGAAUAUAAAUAAGAAAUGCAAAACAAUGGGAACAUUCUGAGAGAAAAAAAGUAUAUAACUUUGAGAAAAAUGUUAAUUUUUAUAAUUCUCACACCUUCUUGAGAUAUAACUCUAAAACACAAUUUUCAAUAACCAGAUCUCAAGAACUCUAUCAUCAUUCUCUUCCUCAAAAGGGUGAAGAAAAAGCCAAUCCACAGAUCGUGACCAAGAAAAACCCAAGAAAGUCAAUGGACUGGACGAGAGUGGAUCUGGACUGAGGGCGUUGAUUAGUAGUUCAAUACGGAGACGGCGCUUGAAAUAGCGGCAGCUGGCAACAGCUUUUCGCUGAGGAAAAUGAUAUGAAUGCUGAAGGAGAAUGAAGUUAGGGUUUUGAGCGGUAGUGAUCUUGAG